rnacentral:rRNA from 1 species
GACGAACGCUGGCGGCGUGCCUAAUACAUGCAAGUCGAGCGAACAGACGAGGAGCUUGCUCCUCUGACGUUAGCGGCGGACGGGUGAGUAACACGUGGAUAACCUACCUAUAAGACUGGGAUAACUUCGGGAAACCGGAGCUAAUACCGGAUAAUAUAUUGAACCGCAUGGUUCAAUAGUUAAAGACGGUUUUGCUGUCACUUAUAGAUGGAUCCGCGCCGCAUUAGCUAGUUGGUAAGGUAACGGCUUACCAAGGCAACGAUGCGUAGCCGACCUGAGAGGGUGAUCGGCCACACUGGAACUGAGACACGGUCCAGACUCCUACGGGAGGCAGCAGUAGGGAAUCUUCCGCAAAGGGCGAAAGCCUGACGGAGCAACGCCGCGUGAGUGAUGAAGGUCUUCGGAUCGUAAAACUCUGUUAUUAGGGAAGAACAAAUGUGUAAGUAACUAUGCACGUCUUGACGGUACCUAAUCAGAAAGCCACGGCUAACUACGUG